CUGCAUCUUCUUUAUCCUUCAGUUAGAGCUUCCUGUACACCUAAAAUCUUAACAUAAGCUAAGAUUUGUUCUUUCCUGUUGUAAUACCAAUGUUCACGUCAGAAAUUUAGACAAAUAAUAUCUUUUGGAAAUGAGUUCAAAAAUAAAUCGUUGUAAGCUUAAAGCGGACAAUAUUAUACUAAUCGGUAGAAAUAUAUUUGGACAUCAUCUUAUAAAUCUCAACAUUUCCAAAGAGUGUAAUCUAUUUUCCCAUCAUAGUUAUAUUUGUACUCUUCCCAUCAAAGUGCAAGCUUGCCAAUUGCCAUCAUCUGGUAUUCUGGUUAGUGAAUAGAACCCAGCUUUAACAAUGUAGUCUGCUUCUUGAGUUGGGUUGGAUUUCCUGUUGGCCUCACAGCCCAGUAAGAUAUAUUGCAUGAGUCAUUCUAAUGAGCUUUUAAAAUUGGCAGAGACAAACGCAAAAGAUAUAAAUAUAUAACUGUUACCUUUUUUAUUAAAAGUGAUAAGAUGAUAUAUUGAUAUGCUUGUUCUUCUUCAUUGAGGUGUUAUUCAUCUCAUGAAACAUUAUAAUUAAAGACUGAUUAUUAUUUCCAUGAUUGUACGGUUUAAGCUUUAUUACAUAUAUAUAUAUAUAUAUAAUUAUUUUACCAAAAUAUGUGUUCAAAAUGAUCUCUACAAAUUUUUAUUUUAUCUUGUCAUCUAAGGUAAUUUUUAUUAAUAUACUUCCAACUAAGAGAUUUGUAUGACUGGUACUGUAGGGUUACGCUUUGUGAUUUCUUUCAUAUAA
rnacentral:lncRNA from 1 species